UACGUAGGCAGCGAGCGUUGUUCGGAGUUACUGGGCGUAAAGGGUGUGUAGGCGGUUGUUUAAGUUUGGUGUGAAAUCUCCCGGCUCAACUGGGAGGGUGCGCCGAAUACUGAAUGACUUCGAGUGCGGGAGAGGAAAGUGGAAUUCCUGGUGUAGCGGUGAAAUGCGUAGAUAUCGGGAGGAACACCAGUGGCGAAGGCGGUUGCCUGGAGCUUUGCUGACGCUGAGGCGCGAAAGCGUGGGGAGCGAUCCGG
rnacentral:rRNA from 1 species